rnacentral:misc_RNA from 1 species
GAUGAAGAACGCAGCAAAAUGCGAUAAGUAAUGUGAAUUGCAGAAUUCAGUGAAUCAUCGAAUCUUUGAACGCACAUUGCGCCCGCCAGUAUUCUGGCGGGCAUGCCUGUUCGAGCGUCAUUUCAACCCUCAAGCCCUCGGGUUUGGUGUUGGGGAUCGGCGAGCCUUUCUGGCAAGCCGGCCCCGAAAUCUAGUGGCGGUCUCGCUGCAGCCUCCAUUGCGUAGUAGUAAAACCCUCGCUACUGGAACGCGGCGCGGCCAAGCCGUUAAACCCCCAACUUCUGAAUGUUGACCUCGGAUCAGGUAGGAAUACCCGCUGAACUUAAGCAUAUCAAUAAGCGGAGGA